rnacentral:rRNA from 1 species
CCUACGGGCGGCAGCAGUGGGGAAUAUUGGACAAUGGGGGCAACCCUGAUCCAGCCAUGCCGCGUGUGUGAAGAAGGCCCUCGGGUUGUAAAGCACUUUCAGUGAGGAAGAACGCCUGGUGGUUAAUACCCAUCAGGAAAGACAUCACUCACAGAAGAAGCACCGGCUAACUCCGUGCCAGCAGCCGCGGUAAUACGGAGGGUGCGAGCGUUAAUCGGAAUUACUGGGCGUAAAGCGCGCGUAGGUGGCUUGAUAAGCCGGUUGUGAAAGCCCCGGGCUCAACCUUGGAACGGCAUCCGGAACUGUCAAGCUAGAGUGCAGGAGAGGAAGGUAGAAUUCCCGGUGUAGCGGUGAAAUGCGUAGAGAUCGGGAGGAAUACCAGUGGCGAAGGCGGCCUUCUGGACUGACACUGACACUGAGGUGCGAAAGCGUGGGUAGCAAACAGGAUUAGAUACCCCUGUAGUC